ACCUCGUCAGUUAUCGCGGGCGCCAUUAUGUGGUGGAGUCCAGUCCAUGGUGGAAUGCUGUAGAAUUGGUUUUUACAAGAGCUCAUUAAAUGAUAUCCUAUACUUGGGUUAUAGUCUACUUUUUCACAUGGUUUACAAGAGCAAUAAACAGCAUCCCAUGCUUGGGUUUUAGUAAACUUUUUCAUGUGAACAACAGCGUAGACAUGGAAAGAGAAUGCAUCCUCAAAAAGCACUGUGUGUAUACAUAAAGGAGGACCAUCUACAGCUGUUCAAGGAGUACAAUAAAACGUGCAAAUACUGAGUUCUCUUUCAAGUCUUGUGCUUCAGAGGCCAAAUUCGUACAAAAAUUAUAUCAACAUGACUGUCUUGGAUUGCGACUGGAUGAAUUCUAAAGAAGCCAUAGAGCAGAUGGUAAUGGGGAUCUACAUCGUCCAAUUCAUAGACACCAACCAGGGGAUAAACCUGUGGACGUUGGUAUCCUGAUUGAAGGGACCGAGGUUCUCUGCUCUUUGAAGAACGUGUAGCAGUGGCCAUGCUGUUUGGACUUACUUACGCCUUGAACCUCAGCUACCCACAAGAACUCAAGGCUACAUUUGAGGUCAUCCAGAAAGUGUUCUUUAUCUUGGAUGGACAAAAACUUUCACUAAAGGUACCAGCCCUUAAGAACAAGAUGUUGGAGUAAGUUACCUUAUGUGUGUAUUCUCAAAAGACUAAAUCUUGA